CUUAGUCUAUUUAGAGGAACCUGUCCUGUAAUCGAUAGUCCACGAAGAAUCUUACUUUACUUUGUAGAUAUACAGUUUGUAUACCGUCAUUAUUAGGUAACUUUUAUAAAAAAUAAAGUUACUAAAAUAGUCUGGCUAAUAUAUUAGAUCAAGGUGCAGCUUAUAGUAAAGGAAGAGAUGGGUUACAAUAUGCUAAAAUAUACGGAACAACGGAUGAACAUUUGUUGAUAAGGUGGAUUUAAAAGUAAAGAGAUUUUAAUAAGAUGUCUUGAUUUUAGCUCUAGGUUAUGUACACAUCGCCCGUC
rnacentral:rRNA from 1 species